rnacentral:rRNA from 1 species
UACGGGGGGGGCAAGCGUUGUUCGGAAUUACUGGGCGUAAAGGGCUCGUAGGUGGCCAGCUAAGUCAGACGUGAAAUCCCUCGGCUUAACCGGGGAACUGCGUCUGAUACUGGAUGGCUCGAGUGUGGGAGAGGGAUGCGGAAUUCCAGGUGUAGCGGUGAAAUGCGUAGAUAUCUGGAGGAACACCGGUGGCGAAGGCAGCUCGCUGGGACGUGACUGACGCUGAGACGCGAAAGCGUGGGGAGCAAACAGGG